rnacentral:rRNA from 1 species
AGUGAACGCUGGCGGUAGGCCUAACACAUGCAAGUCGAACGGCAGCACAGUAAGAGCUUGCUCUUACGGGUGGCGAGUGGCGGACGGGUGAGGAAUACAUCGGAAUCUACUUUUUCGUGGGGGAUAACGUAGGGAAACUUACGCUAAUACCGCAUACGACCUACGGGUGAAAGCAGGGGAUCUUCGGACCUUGCGCGAUUGAAUGAGCCGAUGUCGGAUUAGCUAGUUGGCGGGGUAAAGGCCCACCAAGGCGACGAUCCGUAGCUGGUCUGAGAGGAUGAUCGGCCACACUGGAACUGGGACACGGUCCAGACUCCUACGGGAGGCAGCAGUGGGGAAUGUUGGACAAUGGGCGCAAGCCUGAUCCAGCCAUACCGCGUGGGUGAAGAAGGCCUUCGGGUUGUAAAGCCCUUUUGUUGGGAAAGAAAAGCAGCAGGUUAAUACCCCGCUGUUCUGACGGUACCCAAAGAAUAAGCACCGGCUAACUUCGUG